AAAUUGAUUGAUAAUUUAAUCCUCAGUUCCUCACCAUAAUUUUCUCUCCUCCAACAAACAAAUAAGCUGAAAGCUGAGACAACAAAAGUGGUGUCGGACUGAGAAUGAUAAAGCAAACAGUUCAAAGGUUGGAAGGAUGCAUAUCAUCGGCAUCAAGAAGAAAGAAUGUUGAUAUAAAAUGGAAGAAGCACUUUUUUGGCAAUUGGGUCAGAAACGUGAGCAACACCACCCAACCUGAAAGGACAACCUCGUACAGUGUUCCAAAGGAGAGAGUGGAUUGCAUAGUGAUAGGUGCUGGUGUGGUGGGCAUAGCAAUAGCAAGAGCCCUAGCACUUAAGGGUAGGGAAGUGUUGGUCAUAGAAUCUGCCCCCACCUUUGGAACAGGCACCAGUUCUAGAAAUAGUGAAGUUAUUCAUGCUGGAAUCUAUUACCCUCGCAAUUCUUUCAAGGCAAUUUUUUGUGUAAGAGGAAGGGAAAUGUUGUAUGAGUAUUGCUCCAAGCAUGAUAUUCCACACAAACAAAUUGGUAAGCUCAUAGUGGCUACUCAAUCUUCGGAGAUUGCAAAACUAGAUGAUAUUUUUAAUCAUGGGAUUCAAAAUGGGGUUGAUAGUUUGAAGAUGAUGGAUGGUGCUGAGGCCAUGAAAAUGGAACCUGAAUUGCAAUGUUUGAAGGCAAUACUAUCACCUCUCACGGGGAUUGUUGAUUCCCAUUCUUUAAUGCUGUCUUUAGUGGGGGAAGCUGAAAAUCUUGGAACAACCUUCACGUACAAUUCAACUGUCAUUGGUGGCCAUCUCAAAGGAAAUGAGAUUUGUCUUCAAAUAACAGAAACCAAGCAUCUUAACCAAUGGGAUGGAACAUCAAUUUUGCACCCAGAACUUGUCUUAAUUCCUAAACUUGUUGUCAAUUCUGCAGGCCUGAGUGCCCCUGCUCUUGCAAAAAGAUUUAUUGGCCAACAAAGUGAAGUUAUUCCUCCUGCCUACUAUGUACGUGGUUGCUACUUCAUGUUAUCUAACACUAAAGUCCCUCCUUUCAAACAUUUGAUCUAUCCUAUACCAGAGGAUGGCGGCAUUGGAGUGCAUGUUACACUAGACUUGAGUGGUCAGGUCAAGUUUGGGCCAAAUGUUGAAUGGAUUGAUGGUGUUGAUGAUAUUUCAAGCUUUCAGAAUAAAUAUGACUUAAGUAACCAUUGAUCCUAGGUUUGACUAUUCAGUAAAUGCAAAUCGUGCUGAGCAAUUUUAUCCAGAGAUAAGAAAGUACUACCCAAAUCUGAAGGACGGUUCUCUAGAACCUGGAUAUUCAGGGAUCAGACCUAAACUUUCAGGACCGCGCCAGCCCCCUGUUGAUUAUGUUAUACAGGGAGAAGACAUCCAUGGGGUACCAGGUCUUGUAAAUCUUUUUGGAAUUGACUCACCAGGUUUAACAUCAAGUAUGGCAAUUGCAGAUUUUAUUUCUACAAGAUUUUUGGGAUGAUGGAAGUAUGAAGUGUAAAGAUGUAGAAACUACGCACCACCCGAAACCAAGUUGUUAUUACACAUGAAAUUUUGCAUUAUUAAGCUAAAAUUGAGUACAAUUUGAUAAUAAUAAUAAUAAUAAUAAUUCAUUAAUACCACAAAAAAAAUGUCCACAUUCGUU